AUGUGGGGAGAUAAUUGAAUGGGGGGAGUUGGAGCGCCCCUGUGGUUAUUAGUGAAGAUGAUCAUUCCAGAGUAACUUUAAUGCAAAUAGAUGGAUUUCAGUGUUCAGACUAUAUUAAUGCUUCAUAUAUAGAUGGCUACAAGGAAAAGAAUAAAUUUAUAGCUGCUCAAGGUCCUAAACAAGACACAGUAAAUGAUUUCUGGAGGUUGAUAUGGGAACAGAAGUCUGCAACUAUUGUCAUGUUAACAAAUGUGAAAGAGAGAAAAGAGGUAAGACACUUUAAAGUUUAU